rnacentral:rRNA from 1 species
ACGGGAGGCAGCAGUAGGGAAUAUUGGUCAAUGGGUGCAAGCCUGAACCAGCCAUGCCGCGUGCAGGAAGACGGCCUUCUGGGUUGUAAACUGCUUUUGCCAGGGGAUAAAAGGUCCAUGCGUGGGACAUUGAAGGUACCUGGUGAAUAAGCCACGGCUAACUACGUGCCAGCAGCCGCGGUAAU